rnacentral:rRNA from 1 species
UACGUAGGGGGCUAGCGUUAUCCGGAAUUACUGGGCGUAAAGGGUGCGUAGGUGGUUUCUUAAGUCAGAGGUGAAAGGCUACGGCUCAACCGUAGUAAGCCUUUGAAACUGGGGAACUUGGGUGCAGGAGAGGAGAGUGGAAUUCCUAGUGUAGCGGUGAAAUGCGUAGAUAUUAGGAGGAACACCAGUUGCGAAGGCGGCUCUCUGGACUGUAACUGACACUGAGGCACGAAAGCGUGGGGAGCAAACAGG